CCCGCCGGCUGGUGCCCCCGAGCGCCGCGCCCGCGCGCGCCGGCCUCGCUGGGCUCCCGGACGGCAGGAGCUUUCUCCGAGCCCUUCUCCCGACCCUGGGCUCCAGGCUAUCGUCCCGCGGCCUCUGCCUGUGCUCAGCCGCCACCCGGGUGCUGUGGCUGCGGAGGGCAUUUUCCUGUUUGGUCGGCUCUCCCAGCAAAAUGGUGUGCAGAGGCGAAACUUGGAGAGAAGAAAAAACCCGAAAAACCCAGUGUCCUGGAACUGACCACAGCAGGAUGGAAGGCAGGGUCCUGCGGUAAAACCCAAGGGAUCGCAGCCCCACCAGGGAGACAUGUACCCGGCCUGGACUGGUCCUUGAGCCUCGCUUGUGGUAGAAAGUAUCAAAUCCUAGAAAUUCAAGCUUCAAAGUACUAGAAGAAAAGUAUAUGGAUGUCACCGAGUAAUGAGAAAUGAAUGAACAUGAGGUGAAGCCAGUGUGACUCUCCAAAGAAGGAAGACCAAAUGGAGGACUUCUCCCCAUCUUCAGCCACCAUGAGCAAGACAGUGGACACCAUGGGCAGAAAGAGGUGGUGACAUAGAGAAAGGUUUGUCAGCCUCAUACAAUGACCACUGAAGAGCUGUUACAUGUUGUUAUCUUAAUUAACUUUACUAACAUCACUUGCAACUAAGAGUUCUUACCAAUACAUGAGGCUUUCACAUUAAUCCUUAUAAGCACACAACAACAUAGAUUUUAUUAUUCCCAUCUUACAUAUGAGGAAACUGAUUUCCAAAGCAAUUAAAUAAUUUUCUCAAGAUCAAAUAGCCAGUAACAGGAAGAGUAGGAACUGAACUUCAAUGCCAUGCAUUAUUUUAUUCUUCCUUCCUUUCCACCUCUUUAAUUAAAGCACAGUCUUCAAGACCCUGAUUAAAUCCUACCUCCUCUGCAA